GUUGCAGUGAGCAGAGAUCAUCACGCCACUGCACUCCACCCUGGGUGAUAGGGCGAGACUCUGCCUCAAAAUAAUAAUAAUAAUAAUAAUAAUAAUAAUAAUAAUAAUACUAUUAAGAGGAAGUCUUGAGAGCAAAGUUGAAAGUUCCUCAGAGGCCUCAAGGCCUUGCCUAGACAUGAGUGAAAAACAGCUGAGCCCUGGAAACAUCUCCAGGGGGGUUCUCUGCAGGGUGAGCUUCCUAACAGAGUGCGGAAAUGAAGAAUUGGGCCUACACUGCUGAGAGCAAGGAAGAGAAGCAGCUCCCCGCCCCAGUCCUACAAGUCCCAGGCCAGCCACCAGUAUUCCUCCAUCUCAUCGGAGAGGAAUGUGCUGGCAUGCCGCAAGUUGGUCUGAAGAAUGUGGAGUUUCCGUACUACUUCAGAAGAUCCCAAAUGACACUGCAGGGAAGAACCAGUUGGGGGCUGGGGAAACCAGUGUUUUUUGGAGAAAGAGAAACAGCUGUUUAAGCACGAGUGUCGGAAGGAAGUCCUGUUCCCUACUGCCAACCCACGAGGCAUGACCACAGUCCAGUCACAGGAGCUGCUAUAACAAGACGACAAGGAGGCAAGACUGAGCCACUACUGAUUAAUGCCUGUUGAUCUUCAACAAUGGGCGAUUCCGACAAAUGCAAGAAAGGAAAAAUCACUAGCCAAUAACAUGGGGAUCCUCUCCUAUAAACAGCAAGGAAUCCCAUGGAAGGAAUUCUAAUUUUAUCCAUUUAAGCAACUAUUGGUUACUCAUGCAGGUUCAGAAACAGAGGGGACUAUGAGUUGAUAAAUAAUGUAAAGGUUUAUCAACUAUAUGUAAAUCCUCUAUCUCAAGUCUUUUAUCAGAAUUGCUAACAAGUUGUGAGUCUGAUUUAAUUUCUUUCAUUCACUUCCUUUCUGUUGACUUUGGCAGGUAAGGAUCAGUGAAUUAGAGGAGGUAAGUGGAAUUCAAGACAAUACUCUCUGGAAUAUGUAUUCCCUUAGAGUUCUUCAAAAGCCCUUAUCUUGCCCUAGUGGUAUAUCAUAAGUCAGUAACAAUAACAGAAAAUCUUGUUUUUUUAAAACUAAACAUUCCAAUGCCUAAAAGUCUAAACAGACUAAGAACAAAUGCCAAAUAAACCAAGAUGUGCCAUUUUAAUGGGAAAAAUAUGAAAUAUGACAUGUAAAUAGAAAUCCCACAUUUAUAAAAGCAGGCAAAUGAUAAUGUGUGACAAAUACUUACAGGCAAAUGAGAAAAAGUAGAAAAAGUUCCUCCUUCUAAAAUAAUCUUUUUACAGCAUACAAUUCUCUUAAAUUCUGACACUUAUGCCUGCUUGAAAAAACAAUUUCAGUCAACACUUCCCACUCUGUUAUUCAACCCCAAGGCAUGCAAUUUUUCUUAAAUGGUCCCAAAAUACGUUCAUGCACAAGAAGCAGGCAUCAAUUGACUUGCAACAUGACAAAGUCAUCCUACAGCUUGACUUCUACCCAGUUGCUAUGUCAUCAGGUACUAAACCUCAAAUUCUCUGUGGCCCACUCCUUCUCUCCUUCUCCUUCCUUUGAGGACUAUCACAAAGCCUCUAAGUGCGGGAUUCUUUCCAGUGAUCACCACCUCACACUAUGCACAUCCCUUCGAAAGACAGCUUUGCAGCUUCAACGACAGUAUACGCAGAAUGGCGUGUUCCUCUCCUGGGUCAACUCCUCCAUUCCACAACAGGAUCCUGCAACUUCCCACUCCCUAAAAUCUCUGUCUCACUCUUGAAUACUUUUGUCAUUUAGCUUCUCUUUCUCUUCUGGCUCCUUCCUUCCUUUAAAAACCUUAAGUCACAACUCACCAAAUCAUGAGACAACUCCAGGAUCACAUGCUCAAAUCUUACUUGACAGCCUCACUAGGCCAUCUAAAGGGCAUGUCUAGCUUAUGUCCAAAACUUGAUCUUGUUUGGAAACCUGAUACUCAUUCAGUGUUCCCAUCUCAAUCAAUGAUACCACUCAAAUGGCUCAGGACAAAACUUUGGAAUCAUCCUCAAUUCCCCUCUUUCUCUCACACCACACAUCUCAUUCAACAACAAAUUCAGGCGACUCUGCUUUCACAAUUUAUCCAGAAUCCAACCACUUGUCUCCACAGCUGCCACUGCUAUCCUGUCUGAGCCACCACCUCUCCCACCUGGCAUACUGAAACAACCUAAAUGAACUCCCACCUCCUCUCUUACUCUUUCAUUACUCUCUGUGCCGCAUUCAGAGGGGUCAUUUUCAAAGGUCUAUGAAGCUCUUUCAUUCUCCUUCUCAAUUUUUCCAAAGGCUUCCCAUCACAUCUAGAACAUAACCCAAAGUUUUACAUGACCCACACAGUUCCUAGAAGCCCCAGAGCCUACAAGGUCAUCUCCAACUUCAUUUCCUACCACACUCUGCCUUGUUCAAUCCAUUCCAGUCACACUGACUUUCUUACUAUUUUUCAAACACACAACUGUGAAUAUCAUUGGUGCACAUGAAUUAAAUACUACCUCUCUGCAAACAUUAAAUUGAUCCAUCUACCAACCUGCUUCUCUGAUACAGCCUCAGGAUACACAUUCUGUCUACAAGGUGUCUCAAGCUAGAUGUUCCUAUGCCAGCACAAAUCAGACAAUGCAAAAAGGAGCUGCUCCCCCAUCACGAGGCUGGAAGCCUUGAAGUAGCUGCCAACCUUCACUGUACUUCAACCCACAAUAAGUUGGCUGCCAAAUCCUCCCGUGUUCCCCAGCGCGAAGUCUCAAUUUGCCCUUUCCUCUUCCUUCCUCUAUUCAGAGUCCUGUGCUUGUCCUGGUCAUCUCCUCACUGAAACCCCACACCUCUUCCAGUUGCCCUUAGUUUCCUCCUACGGCUAUAACAAGUAUCCUUCCAGAAGUCUCACAAAAGAUUCUGUCUAUAUCCGUGUUCAGGUGCCAGGGAGUCAGCCUCCAUUCCCCUCCCACUUAAUCCUCCUAUUGUCUUCUACUGUCUACAUGUGGUUACUGCAAUUAAUUAAAAAUCCAGUUCCUCAGCUGCACUAAGCAUAUUUUGAGUGCUCAAGGGCCGCAAGUGGCUGGUGGUCACCCUACUGAACAGUGCAGCUGCAGGGCAUUCCACUUUAAUGCAUUUAUCCCCCAUACAUUUAUCAACUCAACAUUUUAUACAUUUAUCAACCCAACACUUUUAUCAACAGUGCAGCUGUAGGACACAGGAAGUUCUAUUGGAUAGUACAGAACCUAUCCCCUCUGGCAAACCUAUUCAAGUCCCACAACAAAAUCUUUGAGAAUAGAUCCCAUACCCAAUCAGCCCUUUGAACCUGAUUUUUUACUAAGACCUCAUGUUUCAAUUUUAAGGAAGUCCUAAAAUGUUCCUCCCUGAGAUCCGUCCAAUUUUAAAGGAAAGGUAUAUUACACACCCAUCUCCCUAUCCCUCAUAAACAUGACUUCCCUUUCAUAAAACUUCUCUUCUAUGCAGAGUAAAUAUUUACAUAUUAAUAUUCAAUGUAUACCUUUUCCAAUUCUACUCAGCUGUUAUGCGUGAGUACAUAGUAAAUGUGCUCAACAUGUUGACUAUUUUAGACAGAAUGGUUUUGGGGGCAGAAUCAAUAUUGAAUGGUGCCAAGCACAGAAAGCUCUUUAAAAAGUGUGUUUUCAUAAGAGUGAUGACAUAGUGGGGAAGCAGUUAGGCUUUGGAGUUGCCCAGGUCUAGAACUGUUCUGCCACUUACUAGCCAGGGACCUUGGACAAGUUAUUUAAUUCCUCAUCAUCCUCAGUUUAAGUAUUGGUAAAAGAGAAAAUGGUAACUGUCCUCCUUAUAGAGAAGUGACAAUCAAACGUGAUCACACCUGCAAAUCAUAAUGACCACUCAUUAAUAUUAGUUGAUGAUAAUAAUCAUUUAAAAUCAUUAUAAACAAGAUAAACUUAAAUAAUACUUGUGGAAGUUAAAAGCAAGAUGAAAAGAUAUCCCAAAUGUAAGUACUUGUCUUACAGAAUCAAAUGAAUGUCUUCAGAUACAAUGUAACAGAUAUUACUUAAAUAUCAAACCUUGGAAAAUAGGUUUCAAAGUAACAUAGAUUUGAACAUUUCCAUUCUGUUUCUUGUAUAAAAGCUGCAUUGAGUUUCCAGUCCUUUGGAAAAUUUGUCUCAGGGAUAGUGGAACCUUGCUUGGCAGGUUGAAUAAGUUUCCAUUAGUUAAAUGCAAGCAGGAUGAUUUCAUUUUAAAAGUGAAAUGUGAAAGUGGUUAAACAGGCAGGAUACAACUAAUCAUACUAGUCUUUUUAAAAAUUUGAAAAACAAAACAAGAAGAUGUCUAAUUCAAAGCACAUGUGGGCAUUAUUUUGCAUUAGUGCUUAAAGGCCCAUUCUCCCAGUGGACUGAUAAAAUAGGCACAAACAGUCCAUGCAUUUGGAGCAUGAGAUCUUUCUCCCUACCUUCAAUAGCUGAAAUUCAGAGGUGGCUACACGGACUCAAAAGCCAAAGCCAGUACUUAAUUUUGCCUAACUGGCCAUGCAUUUUUCUCUUGCUAUGGCUUCUAAAUGGGCCAGUGGUUCUUAAUGUGUGCACCCUGGAUCAAUAGCAGCAGUAUCUACCUGGGAACUUGCAAAUGCUUGGGCCUCCCAAUCUACUGCAUCAGAAACUCGGAGGGUGGGGCCCACCAAUGUGUUUGAACAAUACCUACAGAUGUUCUGGUGCCAGAGCAUGGGAAGUACACCUGGGCUGCAUUUAUGCCCUCUGUUUGGGGGCAGCUUCCGCAGAGAAGCCAUUAGGACUCUUCUUAGGUAGUAAUGAGAAAGCUUCCACUGGCUCUCAUUCGCACUGACACAUAAUAUGGACUCAGCCUUCCUCACUAUAACUCAGUUCUCUGAUAUGAAAAUUAAUGGAAUCACUUAUAAUGUUCAGCAGUGCCUAGGAAGUAGGGCCUCUGUGACAAACCUGGGCCAUGUGGAGAAAGCAAACCCUAAUUAAUUCAUUUUGUCAAUCACAAAGAAAACUGGCCAAAGAAAACUCCUGGCCCAAAAUCGUAUGGUUUAAUUUCUUCGCCUCUAUAGGAAGAGUUAUUGAUCCACAAUGAGAGAUGGAAUAACUACAUAAAAGAUGGAGUAUCGCAGUUAGUUUAGGAAAGCCUCUAACACUUCCUUUUUUGAAAAAAAAAAAUUUUGCAAAGCAAAAGAAUCACAGAAUUAUAUGACAAAUUCCCACUGACUAUAUAAAAAACGGCAAGGAAAGAUAUACAGGCAACCCUCUUCAGAUGUUUUUCAAGACAUAACAUUUCUUAACAGUCAAAACUCAGAGGGAAACAGAGAAGUAUUCUGGAUCUCAAAACGUGAAUAAUCACGCGAAAUGACUUAUAAGCAACAAUGCCUUAAAUGACUUUUGUUGUCAUGUUUUAAAAGAUCCAAAACAAAAUGAAAGCUCAUUUUAAUACUUUGAUGCUUCCAUAAUGUUGACAGUUAUAUUUUCACAAUUCAAAUAUAUUCUCCAGCAGAGUGCCUUAUUCAUUUUUUAGUGGAAGGAAAUAAAAUUCAAUAUGCAUAAAUUUAAGGUCUUAUGCUUUUUAAAAAACAGGCUUUGAAGUAUUUUUUAAACAAGCAUCCGUCACAUAUUUUUGUAAUUAAGAUAAUUUAGAGAAACGAGCAGUCUUUCAUAAAUUAAUGUAAAAGAUACUGCAUAGUUAUAUAUGGCUCCAAUUUCUGAAAGGAGAACCUUAACAGUAGUUAUGUCUGAACAGUGGGAUAGAGAUAGGCAUGGUAGAGAAGUAAGACUACUUUUAAAAAGUAGUUUUUUUUGUAGAGAUGGGAUCUUACCAUGUUGUCCAGGCUGGUUUCAAACUCCUGGGCUCAAGCAGUCCUCCUGCCUCAACUUCCCAAAGUCCUGGGAUUAUAGGCAUGAGCCACUGUGCCUGGCCAAACUUUACCUUUUUCACUUUAAGUCCUUGGGUCCUAUUCAAAUUUAUUUUUGUACAUAUUUUGUAUAAUUUUAAAAACUACCCCAGUUAGAAAUAAGUUAAAAAUAAUAAAUCCAUAUUAUUACACCAUCAACCUUUGGUACACAUUACGCUGAAUGUCACUUAAAGACUUCAGGUUGCCAUUUCAGAUAA